rnacentral:rRNA from 1 species
UACGUAGGGGGCAGGCGUUGUUCGGAAUCACUGGGUGUAAAGGGAGCGUAGGCGGAAGGAUAAGUUAGGAGUUUAAUGUACGGGCUUAACUCGUAAUCUGCUUCUAAUACUGUUUUUCUUGAGUAUGGGAGAGGGAGAUUGAAUUCCAGGUGUAGCGGUGGAAUGCGUAGAUAUCUGGAAGAACACCAGCUGCGAAGGCGGUCUCCUGGCCCAAUACUGACGCUGAGGCUCGAAAGCUAGGGGAGCAAACAGG